rnacentral:rRNA from 1 species
CUACGGGGCGCUCCAGUGAGGAAUAUUGCACAAUGGGGGGAACCCUGAUGCAGCAACGCCGCGUGGAGGAUGACGCAUUUCGGUGUGUAAACUCCUUUUAUGUGUCAAGAAAAUGACGGUAGCAUAUGAAUAAGCACCGGCUAACUCCGUGCCAGCAGCCGCGGUAAUAAGGAGGGUGCAAGCGUUACUCGGAAUCACUGGGCGUAAAGGACGCGUAGGCGGGUUGGAAAGUCAGGUGUGAAAUCCUACAGCUUAACUGUAGAACUGCACUUGAAACUUCUAAUCUAGAGUAUGGGAGGGGGAGAUGGAAUUAGUGGUGUAGGGGUAAAAUCCGUAGAUAUCACUAGGAAUACCUAAAGCGAAGGCGAUCUCCUGGAACAUUACUGACGCUAAGGCGUGAAAGCGUGGGGAGCAAACAGGAUUAGAUACCCCCGUAGUC